AUUGAACGCUGGCGGCGUGCUUAACACAUGCAAGUCGAUCGGUAACAGGUGUAGCAAUACAUGCUGACGAGAGGCGGACGGGUGAGUAACUGCUUGGGAAUCUGCCUAUUAGUGGGGGACAACCCGGGGAAACUCGGGCUAAUACCGCAUACGCUCUACGGAGGAAAGCCGGGGACCGCAAGGCCUGGCGCUAAUAGAUGAGCCCAAGUCGGAUUAGCUAGUUGGUAGGGAACGGCCUACCAAGGCGACAAUCCGUAGCUGGUCUGAGAGGACGACCAGCCACACCGGAACUGAGACACGGUCCGGACUCCUACGGGAGGCAGGCAGUGGGGAAUAUUGGACAAUGGGGGCAACCCUGAUCCAGCGACGCCGCGUGGGUGAAGAAGGCCUGGCGGGUU
rnacentral:rRNA from 1 species